rnacentral:tRNA from 3 species
UCACGAAUAGUCGGGAUAGCUCAGUUGGUAG